rnacentral:lncRNA from 1 species
GGGCGCAGAUCCCGGCCGCGCGCGCAUCCCCCGCACCUGGGCAGCUCGCUCUUCCACACGUAGAGGCUGCCCACGUAGGAGCAGGCGAGGCUGAAGCAGGAGAACACAGACACCCAGCAGCACAGCCCCGAGCCCGGGCCGCUCAGCGCGGCUGACUCGGGCUGCCGCUCUGGCCGCGAUACCGACAGUAAACGCAGCCCGUCCCCGCCCAGCGCCGCCAUCACGCCCGGACCCGUGGCGCGCGGCAGUGACGCGACGGCGUAGGUGACGUCAGGCGGCGGCGCGAGUUGUCGGGUCCCCCGGGCGCCCCUCCCCUUGCACGAUAGUUGAUACUUUGUGCUUGGAACGGCUUUAUUGAAAUACAGAAGUUGUGACACACGUGUCCCGGGCUUCCUUGGCUUGCUGGGCGUCUCAGAGAGAAUGCUUAGGACCUGUGUCCCGGAUUCAGCCACUCGGACAGAUUGGAUACCUCCUGUAGCCACAAGUCCUGCGGGAGCAGAGGAGGCGGUGGUGAGGACCCGGCGGUGGUAGCUCAGGCCCGCACCCGCCCUGCUCUCGCUGCGGUACCUCCAGGCCGCCCGCAGGGCUAGCUGCCUCUGCCGCCUGGGCCCUGCCGUGGGCCGCUUGGGUCUGCGAUCCUCUAGCAGUGAGGGAGACCUCGGUGAGCUCGCGGUCGCGCGUGGCGGAUUUUGGCGGGCUCCGGUCUCUUGCUGAGCCCAGAACUCGCGAUUCUUCCCUGCCAUGGUUGGGGCUGCCCCUCUUGGGCCUCUUGUUUUCUGCUUGCCCGAUGGAUUCUAGGAGAGAACAAGCCCAUUUCAUCUUACUCCCGAAGAUUUGUGCCAAUGCUACAGAGAUUGUUGGGGCAGGGGUAUCGUUCUAAAUUAACUCUCCCGCUCCACCUUUCCGGAUGAAAACAUUUCAGUACCUGACCUCCCAUGAUAGGCGACAUCUAACUUUCCGCCCAAACUAGGUGAUAUGCAUUUCAAGUUCCUCUCUGAACCUAAGCUUUGCUUCGGGCAAUAAGCAACUCAAUCUCUCUCUGGUAUUGUUCUAGGCAGUUACUACAGAGGCAGCUUUUUGUUGUUGAUGUUCAGACAGACUCUCUUGAAACCCAGGCUAGCCUUAAAGUGAUCAUCUUGCUUCUAACACCCAAGUGCUGGAAUUAGACACUCGUGAACAUGCUUUAGCUCAGCGGUUCUCAACCUGCGGGUCGCACAUCAGAUACUUACACUGUGGUGCAUAACAGUGGCAAAAUGACAGUUAAUUAGUAACACUGAAGAUAACUGUAUGGUUGGGGAUCACCACAGCACGAGGCACUGUAUUAAAAGGUGGCAGCGUCAGGAAGGUUGGGAACCACCAUCACUAAUCCGUAGUAGAUCCAGUUUUGGAAGAACAAACACAGAGGAGGAUCAAACUCGGUAUUGACAAGCAAACCAACUCUGACACUGAGCUACAUCCCCAGCCUCGCAGGUGCAGAUUUACAGAGUCUUGCCUUGGCUGAUUCCUCCUGAGUCAAUGAAUGCACGUUUCUCUGGAAAGGCUAAUGUGCACAUACUAAGUACAACGCACAAGUCCUAUUGAGUAGCUUUAAAGUAGGAAUGCAUGCGGUUGCUACUCCAAGUCCCUCAAUCACUGUGGAAGGCGGCCAAAUCCCAGGUGGCAGCAGCAUGGCUAAAGUGGAAUGGGAUCGUUGGAUAGCUGGACCACUCCACACCAUGAAUUUUAUUUCUCUGGUUUCAGUCCAGGGCUUACCCCCAAAGCUAGAAACUUACCUUCAGGGAAUUCCUGGGCAAUAUUCUUGUGCUGGUCUUUGGUGUUCUGGGCUGAAAUGUUUUUCUCUGGAGUCAGGUGCUUUAACAAUUAGAAAGACCAAGUGAAUUCUGCAGAAGUCUGAAUGAACCUUAGUGAGACGUGUGGUUUGGUUUAUAUGGAUGUUUUCACCCUCAUCCUCCUAACUCAACAGUCUCUACUUGGCCUCCAGCUUUCAAAGCAUCCCCCUUCUGUGGACCCUUGUACAACUCACACUGUAGCCAUUCCCAGCAUAUCCCUGAACCUCAGGCUCUGAAGAUGGCACUAUUCAUCAUUUUUAUGUGUUUAUGCCCAUCUUUCUACUCCAGGUUUACCAUGUGUAUUUGUAACUAUGUGAAUUAUGUGUCUACAGGAGAGGUGGUCAGGUCCCCUGUAAUUGGAGUUACACUUUGACAAGCUGCCUGAUGUGAAUACUGGGAACCAAACCAAACCAAUAGCAGCAUGGUCCCUCUUCCACACAGCCAUUUCUCCAGUCCCUUUUUAUUUAGUCUUGGCUGUCUGGAACUCAGUAUAUGGUGGAGAACAAGCUGGGCUUGAACUUGCAGAGAUCCUCCUACCUUUGCCUCACAAGUGCUAGAAUUAAAGGCAUACACCACAAUCCCUGGCCCUGUCUUUUUUUAAAUUAAAUUCUUUGAGACAGGGUCUCUUAUAUCCCAGAGCUGACCUUUAAUGUCUGACCAUCUGUCCCUCUAUAUACAUGUACACUUAGUUAAAAAUACAUCUUUUAAAAAGUUGAAAAAAAUGAGUGUUUGCAUGAAAGCUGCAGGAGCACACUUCAUAAAAUGGCAUAGUAGCACAUAUGUAAUCCCAGCACUCAGGAGAGGGAGGCAGAAAGAGCAGGAGUUCAAGAUAACCCUCAGCUACAUAGGAAGAUAAAAGCCAUUCUCAGAUACACAGUGAGACCCUCCUCCCCGCCCCCACUCCUGUAAUGUCUACACCAAGGGGAGGGGAGAAGUAAGCCAAUAGAAGGUGGGCGGGGCUUUGGGAGAGGAGCUGGGUUAUGUGCGUUCAGCAGUCACAGUCUUGUUUUCAGUGUGAUGGAGACCUCUGGGGAUUGGGGGAGGAGCACACGGCACAGUGACUAUCCUUAAAGCAUCAAGUUGACACUUUCAAAGGGAAGUCUUAGGUAAGAAUUACACCACAGUACUAUGCAUUCUAUGAUACACUGCUUCUUGUUUCCCCCUUUAAGACAGUUUUGCUAGAUAGUUCUGUCUGUCCUGGAACUUACUAUGUAGGCCAGGUUGUCACUCUGUCUCCUAAAUGCUGGGAUUAAAUGUGAGAGCUACCUGGCAUUCUCAUUACAGAUUUUUAUGUUAUAGGAGCUCUGCAGUUACAGUUAUCAUCAUUUCUGGGGGAUCCCACAGUCUCUCCUCAGAUGCACUCACAUGAGAUUCACUGCAUAUUAAUACAAAUUCCAACUUCUAAGUAAUUACAUUCUGAGGAACACACAGGGGCAAAGAUCACCCUCAAAAUCCAGCAGAGUUUCGGUUCACUCUGGCCUGGGAAAUCUUGCAUAGCACACGUCUUUGUCCUUUUCCUUUUAGAAACUGGUCUUACAGAGGGGUGACCCACUUGAGAUGGCUAACACUGUGAGCCUUGUAUGCCUAUCAGUAUCUGGGCCCCAAGAGAGACAGCCCAGUCCUUUAGAGAACUGCCAUUUCUCCUUAAACUAUAGAUGGGUUAAUUCUAUAUCUGGUGAGUUGGCUAGUUACCAUGGAAACAAAGUAAAAGGGGGGGAAAAAAAACUUGACCUAUUGCCUUGAUCAUGUAGUUUGUAGCUGAAGCCACUGGGGGCCGCUAUUGUGCCACCAAUGAGUUAACACAAAGUGGCCUCUAAUGAGGGAAGGACUAAUGACAAUGGAUCUGUGCACACUCAUUCCCUGGGCUUGCCACUCAGCCCUACAGAGGCACAAUGUGAUCAGGCUUUGAAACCCUGCCAGUUAUUAGCCAUGUAACCAGCAAGGUUUAGGUUUCACAGUUACCUUAUUUAUAAGGUGGAAGAUAAUGACCUAAUUCAGAACAUCUUUGUUGAGACGGAAAUGGAAAUACAGAUUAGGUAUUCUGUAAAUACUCCUUUCUUUCAGCAUCAUUGAGUUAAGUGGGCCACAGAUGGCCCUGAGGCUAUGAGCCACCACUAGAGCCAAAAGGUAAAGAGCUCAGAUCAGUUCUUUCCGACUUCACUGGGAUGUCAGAGAGGUCCAAGCAGAAGAUCUCAAGAAGCAGAAACAGCCCAGAACCUGAGGGGAUCUCCUGGGUUCUAACGAUGGCUCAGGCUGUGUUCUCAAGGUGUUCCUGGUUGAAGUGAAUGAGGCUGCACCCUUUCCAGUUUGCCCACAUCCUAACACCAAGAGCCUGUGAAUGUGAGAUUAUUUGGAAAAAGGGUCUUUGUAGAUAUAAUUAAGGAUUCAGAGAUAGGACCAUACUGCAUGCAGGACUCAGGCUGGGCCCCCCUAAAUCAGAAACAGUUGGGUAGGAAAAGACUAGGUGAAGAUGGGGGUAGAAACUGGAGUUAUGUAAGCCACAAACUAGGAAACCAGAGAGACAGGAUGGAUUCUCUCCCAGUGCAUCUAAAGGAAACACAGGCCUGCUCAUGCCUCGAUUUUGAACUUCUGGCCUCCAGCGCUAUGACAGAAUAAAUGAUGUUUUUAAGUC